rnacentral:rRNA from 1 species
GAUGAACGCUGGCGGCGUGCCUAAUACAUGCAAGUCGAACGGAGUUAGUAGCAAUACUGGCUCAGUGGCGAACGGGUGAGUAACGCGUUGGUGAUCUGCCUUGAAGUGUGGAAUAACGUUUCGAAAGGAACGCUAAUACCGCAUGUGCUCUCGAUUUUCAGAAAGUUGAGAGUAAAGGAUUUAUUCGCUUCAAGAGGAGCCUGCGUCCCAUCAGCUGGUUGGUAGGGUAACGGCCUACCAAGGCUAUGACGGGUAGGGGACCUGAGAGGGUGGCCCCCCACAAUGGAACGGAAACACGGUCCAUACACCUACGGGUGGCAGCAGUAGGGAAUAUUAGAAAUGGACGAAAGUCUGAUCUAGCAACACCGCGUGUGCGAAGAAGGCCUUCGGGUCGUAAAGCACUUUUUGGAAGGAAUAGGAAGGAAUGUACUUCCAGAAUAAGUCUCGGCUAACUACGUGCCAGCCGCCGCGGUAA